rnacentral:lncRNA from 1 species
CAACACUGUAUUCUAUAUGAGCACCAAUAUGGUUUUCAUAAAAACUACUCCACAGAUAUGGCUAUUUCGCAACUUGUGGAUAAAAUCUUUACAUCCCUGAACAACAAUGAACGGUAUCUUUUGAGAUUUAUCCAAAGCGUUUGACACGGUCGAUCAUUAAAUAUUACUUUCUAGAUUGCAUUAUUAUGUUUGUUGUGAUUAAACAUAUAAUUGGAUAUAUAGUUAAUGUUUAUGACAGAGAACAAUGUGUUUAUGCAAACGGCUGUGCAUCUACCAGGGCCAAGAUAUCCUGUGGUGUGACACGGUGUUCAAUACCAGUCUAGUUUUAUAGUGGAGCGUAAGGGUUUUACCUGUCUAGUUUUAUAGUGGAGCGUAAGGGUUUUACCUGUCUAGUUUUCAUAGUGGAGGGUAAGAGUUAGUGGUAAGGGUUUUACCAGUCUAGUUUUAUAGUGGAGCGUAAGGGUUUUACCUGUCUAGUUUUCAUAGUGGAGGGUAAGGGUUAGUGGUAAGGAUUUUACCAGUCUAGUUUUAUAGUGGAGCGUAAGGGUUUUACCUGUCUAGUUUUCAUAGUGGAGGGUAAGAGUUAGUGGUAAGGGUUUACCAGUCUAGUUUUCAUAGUGGAGGGUAAGGGUUAGUGGUAAGGAUUUUACCAGUCUAGUUUUCAUAGUGGAGAGUUAGUGGUAAGGAUUUUACCAGUCUAGUUUUCAUAGUGGAGGGUUAGUGGUAAGGAUUUUACCAGUCUAGUUUUCAUAGUGGAGGGUUAGUGGUAAGGAUUUUACCAGUCUAGUUUUCAUAGUGGAGGGUGAGGGUUUACCAGUCUAGAUUUUAUAGUGGAGGGUAAGGGUUAGUGGUAAGGGUUUACCAGUCAAGUUUUUAUAGUGGAGGGUAAGAGUUUACUAGUCUCGUUUUUAUAGUGGAGGGUAAGGGUUAGUGGUAAGGGUUUACCAGUCUAGUUUUUAUAGUGGAGGGUAAGGGUUUACCAGUCUCAUUCUUAUAGUGGAGGGUAAGGGUUAGUGGUAAGGGUUUACCAGUCUAGUUUUCAUAGUGGAGGGUAAGAGUUAGUGGUAAGGGUUUACCAGUCUAGUUUUCAUAGUGGAGGGUAAGGGUUAGUGGUGAGGGUUUACCAGUCUAGUUUUCAUAGUGGAGGGUUAGUGGUGAGGGUUUACCAGUCUAGUUUUCAUAGUGGAGGGUUAGUGGUGAGGGUUUUACCAGUCUAGUUUUCAUAGUGGAGGAUAAGGGUUCGUGGUGAGGGUUUACCAGUCUAGUUUUCGUAGUGGAGGGUUAGUGGUGAGGGUUUUACCAGUCUAGUUUUCAUAGUGGAGGGUAAGAGUUAGUGGUAAGGGUUUACCAGUCUAGUUUUCAUAGUGGAGGGUAAGGGUUAGUGGUGAGGGUUUACCAGUCUAGUUUUCUUAGUGGAGGGUUAGUGGUGAGGGUUUACCAGUCUAGUUUUCAUAGUGAAGGGUUAGUGGUGAGGGUUUUACCAGUCUAGUUUUCAUAGUGGAGGAUAAGGGUUAGUGGUGAGGGUUUACCAGUCUAGUUUUCGUAGUGGAGGGUUAGUGGUGAGGGUUUUACCAGUCUAGUUUUCAUAGUGGAGGUGAAGGGUUAGUGGUGAGGGUUUUACCAGUCUAGUUUUCAUAGUGGAGGAUAAGGGUUAGUGGUGAGGGUUUACCAGUCUAGUUUUCAUAGUGGAGGGUUAGUGGUGAGGGUUUUACCAGUCUAGUUUUCAUAGUGGAGGGUUAGUGGUGAGGGUUUUACCAGUCUAGUUUUCAUAGUGGAGGGUUAGUGGUGAGGGUUUUACCAGUCUAGUUUUCACAGUGGAGGGUUAGUGGUGAGGGUUUUACCAGUCUAGUUUUCAUAGUGGAGGGUAAGAGUUAGUGGUAAGGGUUUACCGGUCUAGUUUUCAUAGUGGAGGGUAAGGGUUAGUGGUAUGGGUUUACCAGUGUAGUUUUUAUAGUGGAUUGUACUAAUUUGACCUAAUUUGUUAUUCCUAAUCUAUAUCAAUGACCUUGCUGCUGGGUCUUCUACCGUACCUCCCCUUCUCUUUACUGAUGAUGCCAAUUAGAUUUUAUCACACAAGCAUUUUAAUUCACUAAUUAAUGAAACCAACUCAGGCAUGGCCACAUUUUCUAAAUGAUUCCAGAUAAACAAAUGAUCUUUAAACAUAAUACAUCCAACUUUAUUAUAUUCAAUUAAAUGGAACAAGUCACAUCCACUAGAUUCCUCAGAGCUCUAAUUGAUGAAACGUUAUCUAGGGAGGAACAUAUUUAAUUUGUCUGCAGCAAAGUGACGACAUCUGUUGGUAUCAUCAGAUAGAUGAGUGGUUUGGUUCAUCAGGUUUGCUUCUCAACUCUACAGUAGAGCUUCAUUGACCCAUCUCUCAUUUUACUGUAAUAUUGUCUGGGCCAGUACAUAUGCCUCCUAUCUACACAGAUUACUCAUCGUACAAAAGAAAAAUGUGCAAGACUAGACGCCACUAAUUACUAGAGGUCGACCGAUUAAUCAGAAUGGCCGAUUAAUUAGGGCCGAUUUCAAGUUUUUUUUACACCUUUAUUUAACUAGGCAAAUCAGAUUAAGAACACAUUCUUAUUUACAAUGACGGCCUAGGAACGGGGGUUAACUGCCUUGUUCAGCGGCAGAACAACUGAUUUUUACCUUGUCACCUCGGGGAUUCGUUUUUGCAACCUUCCAGUUACUAGUCCAACGCUCUAACCACCUGCCUUACAUUGCACUCCACGAGGAGCCUGCGUGGCAGGCUGACUACCUGUUACGCGAGGGCAGC